CCUACGGGGGGCUGCAGUGGGGAAUAUUGCACAAUGGGCGCAAGCCUGAUGCAGCCAUGCCGCGUGUGUGAAGAAGGCCUUCGGGUUGUAAAGCACUUUCAGCGGGGAGGAAGGCGGUGAGGUUAAUAACCUCAUCGAUUGACGUUACCCGCAGAAGAAGCACCGGCUAACUCCGUGCCAGCAGCCGCGGUAAUACGGAGGGUGCAAGCGUUAAUCGGAAUUACUGGGCGUAAAGCGCACGCAGGCGGUCUGUCAAGUCGGAUGUGAAAUCCCCGGGCUCAACCUGGGAACUGCAUUCGAAACUGGCAGGCUAGAGUCUUGUAGAGGGGGGUAGAUUUCCAGGUGUAGCGGUGAAAUGCGUAGAGAUCUGGAGGAAUACCGGUGGCAAAGGCGGCCCCCUGGACAAAGACUGACGCUCGGGUGCGAAAGCGUGGGGAGCAAACAGGAUUAGAUACCCCAGUAGUC
rnacentral:rRNA from 1 species